ensembl:snRNA U6 U6 spliceosomal RNA
GUGGUUGCUUUGGCACCACAUAUACUAAAAUUGGAACGAUACAGAAAAGAUUAGCAGGGACCCUGUGCAAGGAUGACAUGCAAAUUCAUGAAGCAUUCCAUAUUUUU